CCCAGGCAACGCUGGAUCCUUAACCCACUGAGUGAGGCCAGGGAUGGAACCCACAUCCUCAUGGAUACUAGUUAGAUUUGUUUCUGCUGUGCCACAGCAGGAACUCCUUAUUUUUUUCCUCUUUUAAUGAUUUACAGUGGAGAGCCAGUAUAUUUUGCUGUAAUGGUAAUGAUGACUUCAACUGGUGACUGCUUAGCUCUGUAUUUGUCACUUAAGUCUUUUUUUCCCCCAACUAAAACCACCAAAUAAUUUAGUAGACUUUUUUUUCUGAAAAUGCCCUAGCAUUUGAAUGUAAAAAUUACUGCUAGAUGUUUAUUUGCUCUAAUCCAGUGCAUCUAACAAGUAUUUCAGUACAUGCCACAUGUUAAGCACUGUGUGGAUAGUGCUAAGGGGUAGAUGAAAUAAUGAAUAAUCUCAAGAAACUUAUUUAUAGUACUUCAAUAACUGGGAUUAUAUAUUAUAGAAAUAAGUUUUUCCUUUAUUCAUAUAUUGAUGAUUAUAAUAGUUAAUGUGUCUUUUAGGCCAGUAUUAAGAUGUUCGCAGAAUUACAGAUGUUUGGAAUUUAAAAAAAUACUGCAAAUAAGUACAUUUUUUAAAAAUCUAAGUGGUAGGAGCACUAGCACUAAGUUAUUUAUGGGAGAGUAUAAUGUUAAAAGUGAUUUUAAAGGAAAGAAAUUUGGAGUUUUGGAAAAUUAGACUAUCAGGCAUGGAUUUCUGAGCUUCUACUCCUGGGAUGAUUUUCUCUUCACCUGUGCUGUUGGGCAAGUUAUUCUACUUGAAAUUUCUUUAAGCCUUAGGUUCCAUAACUAACAAGUAAUAUUACCUCUUUGUAGAGUUAAGAUUUUCCAUGUGAAUGAUUAGAAUGUUUCUGGCAUGUAAUAAGCAGUCAGAUGUUGUCUCAUCACACCUCAAGAAUAGAAAAAAAUACAGGCUUAGAUGUGGAAGUAUUAUUACCCUUUAAUAUGUUGAGAUUAAGUAGAGAAAGAUCUUAUAUUUCACUUUUGUAAUUGACACCUCAGUAAUUUAACCUUGUUGUUCUGUGUUCUUUAUCAUUUAUUAACAGAUUUCUUUUUUCUUAAGGGAAGCCUCCAAAGCCAAAGUGAGUUACAAUCCAUAAUGAAUAUUUGUCUUCCCAGCGUGCUUGGACAGUACUCAUCAAGAAGUUAAGAGGAAGAAAGUUACCUCCCUCCUUCCUGGCGCUUUCAGCUGUCAGCUUUUAAAAAUAAGUUUAAAAACACACCUACUAAAAACAAAAGCCAUUUGCUAUAGAAGUACACAUACUAGGUUUGGAUCCAAUUUUAUGUCUAUGGAACAGUUCUAAAGUGAAUUGAAGACUCAUUAGUGCAGGUGGCCUCUUCUGUCUGCGCAGGUUCUUUGGGGGAACUGCUGCAUGCUGCAGUACAGAAAUGAAAAAUGAAUCCCCUAAGAGUCAAAUGAUGUGUAGUAAAGGCUGCAGUGUGUUUUCCCAUGGGCAUUUACACAGGUUUUUCCGAAAGUACGUUGAUUCUUUGCUUCCUAUAUUAGAAAUUGUAUUUGAAACUUGAGGAUACCCUAAAUAUUUAUGUCACUGAGUAUUUGUCACUUGUAUUCUUAUCAUUUAACUUUUUUUUUUGUUUGUUUGUUUUUGGCUGUACCCGAGGUAUGCAGAAUAUCCCAGGACAGGGAUUGAACCUGAGCCACAGCAUUGACAACACCAGACUCUUAACCGCUAGGCCACCAGGAAAUUCCUAACAUUUUAAGAGAAUGAUUAAUUUGCUAGAUUGGGUUGCCAUUAUUUGCCAAGAGAAUGAUGCUAAAAACAAAUAGAUGUGUGGUUAGUAAAAGGGUUAUCUAUGAUAUAUAAAAAAUGUUGAUAGGAAGGUGGUUAACUGGCCCUAAAAAAUUUUCUCAGAGGUACAAAUUGCUAGUAUUUUGCAUCAGUCUUGACACAGUGGUAGUUGUUAGUUUUUUAUAUGGAUCUGACAUUCCAGUUUAGUUACUGACAUGACUUCACUUUUCUUGUAACUUAAUACCAUUAAGUAUCAUAAUAUACCAUAGUAACUAUUUGCUCCAAGCCAUUCUAGACUUUAACAUAUUUGGAAAGGUUCUGGAGACAAACCUGAAAACCGUGUGAAAGCAACAUCAACAUAGAACACUUUUCCAAGCUAAAGUCUCUUCCCUCUAGACUUGCUAGGAUAAGUUGCCCUAUGGUGGCUUUUUUUUUUUUUUCCCCCUUCUCUUUGUUUUAUCCCCUGUCUGAUGAGAAUGAACAUUUCUAGUAGGAAAAAAGGGUCACAAUCAUUCUCUGGUUAUAGCUUUUAUGAUGGGGUUAAAGCAGACAUGCUUGACCAUAGUGAAAACCUGUGUAUUGAGGUUCUAGCCAAUGGUUUAAAAGAUGUUGGGGUAAUUAAACAGUCCUACAUUUCACCAGUAACCAUAAUGACUAACAGUUAAGGUAUGCUCCUGAGGAAGAUUGUGACUUUGGAGAAACAACACUGUCAUGAAUGGUACAUUGUUAGGGCCUGAGGGAGAAGCUAGAAAAACACUUUUGCUUUCCAGAUGUAUUCAAGUUUUUUUCCAAAUUCCUUGAGGUUUUCUUUAUUAGGGAUGCACCAAGAUUUUUGUUCAAAUACUGUCAUCACGUUAUUCCAGGUUUCUGAGCUAAAAGUUUCUUAAACACUGAUGAAAUGAAAUCAAGUCCAGGCUAUCUCACAAGCCACUUUUUAGUAUGCUUCCUCAUUAAGAAAUGUCCAAAGAUGUUACUAAGAGCUGUUACUGAUAAUCAGUAUAAUGUGAAGAAAGUGAACAUUUUUACAAGUUUGACUAGUAGACAUUUAAGCCUUUUGAAAAAGACCUUGAUGGGCAAUACACAAUUUUAUUGUGGCUCCCAAAGUUUUUAAGAAUACACCUUCUGAAAACUUGGGCACUAGCUGUUGGUUAUAUUAGAGCCCAGAUCUCUUGACUCUAUUGACACACCACGGUGCUCACCACUACACCAUGCAUAUUGUCUAACAGCCUCAACUGAAUGUUGACAUGUCUUUUAAAAACCAAUUCUUUAACCAUUUUCAGCCAAAGUUUAAGUGCCUUUUUUAAUACAUAUUUUACAACAUCAAAAUUUAUGCUUCUGGUCUGAGUCCAAUAUCUUAGUCCACAUAUUGAAUAUAUAUUGAAUUAAACUCAAAGAAUAGUUGAUAAACCUAUAUGAGUUUCUCCCCAGGAACUUGUUAGGUGUACGGAUUAUUUCUCAGCAACUACCAGAAGGAGAAUUUGUAAGUGUAGUUCCGGGAAAGCGGCACUUGAAACAGACCCUGCAGAUUUUUUGUCUCCUGCCCUUGGUAUCUCCCUGUAGCACAAAUAACUAUUUUGAAAUACAUACACAUACCAGUUUAUAUUGUGAGGCUAGACUUUACCAAGCUUCUGGAUUAUAAAGUAUGGGAAAACUGUACUUGGGAGCGUAUACCUCCAAAGGUUAGAAUUGAUGGAUAAAGGCAGGAUAGUUCCAAGCAGAAUAGGAAUUGAGUAUGGCCUCUGGAUGUGAGCACUGUGUUUUGAAUUAGGUUAAAAUCGAGUAAGAUCAGAUUACCCAGAGUGGAGUCCCCUCGCUUCCUCUGGACUGAUACAGAUUAAAGUGAAAAUAAGCCUUUUUGCCUGAGGUUUCUUUAAAAAAAAAAUUUUAUUGUUGCUUAUUUCAGCAAAUACAUUUGUACCUACCUUCAUCCUAUCCCCCAGAGCAUUCCUUAAUUCCCUUCUUUAUUAGGUAGAAAGAUGCUGAUCAAAUUGAAAAAAGUGGAGUUGGAAGCAUGAUAAACAUUCCUGAGAAUCCCCACAGAAUCGGCCAUUUAACAGAUCUCAAUCCUGUUCUGGGCAGAAGGGCAGUUACCAUAAAUAUUUUCCAUUAAUGAGUAACAUGCAAAGCAUGAUUUGACUGCCAUGUGAGGUUAGUGUUUAGGUUCAAGUAUUUAUAAUCCUAGUAGGAAGAUCUCUGAGUCUGAACUACAUAAGAAAAACCAAUAAAAACAAGGUAGCACAACUAGUGCCAUCUACUGGGUGAUUGCUAUAUCGUUUCAGUAGUUCCAUGAAUCUGGCUUAAUUUGGGAGAAAGGUUCCAGCAUUCCAUUGGAUAGGAGUUUUUGACAGUUUAAGCGUGCUGUGGAAGAGUAUUAAGGAGAAGUUGGGUUAUCAGUUUAAUCCCAAUUUAUGAACAGGCAACACUGACAUAAAAAGUAAAUUUCCCUCAGUUAACCAGAUUUAUUAAACUGAACUGCCCCUAAAGCUUCAGAAAAUAUGGAAAUUGUUGCCAAGUUUUGUAUUCUUGUUACAUUUGUCAAUAAUAACUGGUGGGAAGUGUAAACUGUUAAAAAUACUUUUGGGUGGGUGGCGAUUUGGUAAAAACAGUUGAAAUAGAACACAAAACUUGGUGUUUUUGUCAAAUCCUGGCCAAGUGACUGCUGCUGUUCUUGGAGUGAUAUUAGCUUUGCAGAGCAUAACCUAUUUUAAAUGCCAAAGACAAUGUACUUCGGUGAACAGAACAUGGUUUUGAGCUGAAGAGAUCUUGGUUUGAGUCCUGAAUCUAUUAUUUACUGGCUCUGUGAUCAUGAGCUUCAUUAUAAAAUGAGGAUAUUCGGGCUAUGGACUGACAGGACUUGUGACUCAAUGUAUGCAAAACAUCUGUUCCACACCUAGGGCUCAACAAAUGUUCUUUCCCCAUGAGCUGUGAAAUACUGGUCAUUUCUUCAUGCCAUUAUCAGGAGACAUCUUUUCUGUAAAUUAAAAUCUGAAAUAUUAAGCAAUUCACAUAAUUGCAAUUAGGUUUUCUUCAAAACAAGCUUUUAUAGUCUUUUUGAGUGCAAAAAAUUACAUAUGCUGACAACUUACCACUAUGACCAUGACAACAUGUCAUAAGUUGAGUCUUCAUCACAAAGAUCUGCCCAAUAGCUGAGAACACUGUGCUGUUUUUCCACUCACCUUUGCCCAGAGGGUGAGGGCAUGAUUAGAAAAGUGCAGGGAAGAGUGUGGACUGAGGUUUGUGUCAGGAAGGAGGUCAGUGACCAAGGGGAAGCAAAGAAUACUGGAAGGAAUUCUAUAUUCCCAGAGACAGCCCUCAGGAUUGAUGUGUACCUAGAGUUCGCUUGUUUGCUUCUAAUGAAGCAUUAGGUAAUUUUUCCCAUUGUUUUAUGAAAAAUUUCAAACAUACAGUGAUGUUGAAGAAAUUGUAAAUACCUGUGUACUCACCGGCUAGAUUUUAACAUUAUCGUCUGACUGUACUUGUUUUUAUUACAUCCAUCAAUUCAUCCUAUUCUAUCCAUUAAUCCAUUUUUAGUACAUUCAAGUAAACUGCAGACAUCCGAGCGCUAAGUAUUUCAGCACACCUAUUCACUCCAGUUCAAGGUUUUGCAGGUCUUAAUGUAAAAUUUGCUAAGAAAUGUGCAAAUCUCAGGUGUACGUGUGUGAGUCUUAAUAAAUGUCUGUGCCACUAGUAUAACUCUAACCCCUAUGAAGAUAUAGAACAAUCCAUCGCUCCAGAAACCUCUCUCAUGCACCUUCCAAAGGGAAUGCACCUUCCCAAGUGAAUCCCCCUCCCCAUGGCUCCCAUAGCAGUCACUUUUCUAAUAUUUUGAAAACCACUCAGCUUAAAUAAAGGUAGAAGCUUCACAUGUUCCAAGGUCAACUUUAGCUUGCCUCACUGAGUUAUAGAACUCCAGUUUCAUCCCUGCCACAGGAUGACCAAAGCCAGACCCCUCACACACCUCACAAAUGUAAUGCCAGGUAUUGGUAUAUAUUUUAUUUUAUUCUGUCUCCUUGUUUCAACUUAGCUCUAGCUCUGCCCUUACUAAUAUCUAUUUUAUUUCCUUAAAGAUUUACAUCUGACAUCUUUGUCUUUUGGGGCAGAAAUUGCUAGUAUGAAGACCAGGUGAGCAGGUGGAUUUGCAGUCCUAGGAGUAUGGGUGGAAGGAGUUGGCCAUCUGGAACAUACCACCUGCCCUGAGCAGCUCUGAGUCAGGGAUUGGAGGGAGAGCUUCCAGCAGGAUAUCAUAUGAAGUCCUCUGGGAUGAAGAGCCAGGACUAGAAGAGAUACUCUGGGACUUCAGUGUUUGCAGGGGAGUGGCAACAGAAGUAUCAGCUGCCUCAGCAAAUUCAGCAACAGUAGAGACUACCAGCGGUGCUGGGGGCAAAAAGGUGGUGAUGGCAAAAAUACUGGUUGCAGCGAGGGCAGCAAAGCCUGUGGCAUACAGCAGGGUCCUGGACCGGGGCAGGUGCUGAUGGGGCCCUGGAGGAGCUCGGUGUCCCCAGGGGCACUGUGAGUACCAUAUUCUUCCUUGGAAUUAUCAAUAUUUCUGGGAUUUCAGCUUGCCUGGAUUUCUUGUUCAUUGGCAGCAGAAGAGCCUCCUGGGAAGUGAACUGAGCUAGGGCUCAGGAGCAUCUGUUCCAGGCAAGCUGGUGGGGCUGCCUGAUCCUUGCAUUUUGAGGGGGGGAGGAAGGUGGUGGGAAAGGGUGAGAAACUGGGAGAAAAGAAUCUGAACAUGUGGAAUGUGACUCAGAACAAAGUCUUAGUCAUCAGGGCUAAGGGUGGAAGCUCUGAAUACAAUGCAGAAACUGUUCCCAGAAUAUAUCCUUGAUUCUGCAGUGCUGGCUGGAUCCCAGGGAAGGAGAGAGCUGCAGAGAUAAGGGGAAAGUGCUGAUGCACUAAACUGCUAUCAUGUUAGGGCAGCAGACAUUGCUGAAAUUCCUCAUGCAUGUGGCCAGACAUAGCUCAGGUUUUACCCACCUGCAUCUCAGGACUCACUUGAGGAUCCAGGGGGUUGCCAGCUGGUGGAAUAUUCACUUUUGGGCUCAAGGUUUAGUGGGGAAGCAGAUGCACACUCAGAGGAGUGGGCUGGGGGAGGGAUCUGAGAAUGCUUGGGUGGAGGAUCACUUCCCACUGUGGGUUAAGCUCAAUGUUAACUCUGUUAGUUUUAAGUUUUUCUGGGACUUCAAAUUAUCUCCUUACAUAUAGUAUGGAAUAUACAACUCUGCAAAUGCAGUAUUGUGAAAUAAAUUUAUUAUGGUCUAAAAUUUU